rnacentral:misc_RNA from 1 species
AAUAGGUCCAUUUUCAUCGAUGCAAGCGGAUUUCAUCAUCAACUUGGGCCAAAAAUCACAAGUACCGAUCAUCUCUUUCUCUGCGACGAGUCCAUCAAUUUCAUCAGCCCGGAAUCAGUAUUUUGUUCGUACAACUCAUAACGAUUCAUCUCAAGUGAAACCUAUCAGUUCAAUAAUCCAAUCAUUCGGAUGGCGACAAAUUGUACCAA